CACGUAGGGGGCGAGCGUUAUCCGGAUUCAUUGGGCGUAAAGGGCGCGUAGGCGGCCCGGUAAGUCUGAAGUGAAAGUCCUGGUUUUAAGCUGGGAAUUGCUUUGGAUACUGUCGGGCUUGAGUGCAGGAGAGGUAAGUGGAAUUCCCAGUGUAGCGGUGAAAUGCGUAGAGAUUGGGAGGAACACCAGUGGCGAAGGCGACUUACUGGACUGUGACUGACGCUGAGGCGCGAAAGUGUGGGGAGCAAAC
rnacentral:rRNA from 1 species